rnacentral:rRNA from 1 species
GAUGAACGCUGGCGGCGUGCCUAAUACAUGCAAGUCGAGCGAACAGACGAGGAGCUUGCUCCUCUGUCGUUAGCGGCGGACGGGUGAGUAACACGUGGAUAACCUACCUAUAAGACUGGGAUAACUUCGGGAAGCCGGAGCUAAUACCGGAUAAUAUAUUGAACCGCAUGGUUCAAUAGUGAAAGACGGUUUUGCUGUCACUUAUAGAUGGAUCCGCGCCGCAUUAGCUAGUUGGUAAGGUAACGGCUUACCAAGGCAACGAUGCGUAGCCGACCUGAGAGGGGGAUCGCCCACAUUGGACUUGAGAAAGGGCCCAGACCCCAAGGGGAGGCAGAAGAAGGAAAUCUUCCGCAAUGGGCGAAAGCCUGAGGGAGAAACGCGGGGGGGUUGAUGAAGUCCUUCGAAUGGUAAAACUCUGUUAUAGGGAAAAAACAAAUGGGAAAGUAACUAGGAACGUCUGGACGGUACCUAAUCAGAAAGCAACGCCUACUACGUG